rnacentral:lncRNA from 1 species
GCAAUUCUUCUCUAUGUUUGAGAUUGUUUCAAAAAUUUUUAAAUUUACAUUAAAGUAUCUAGAAAUUAAUUUAAAGAAUGCGAAAGAUCCCUAGGGUGAAAAUUUAAAAAUUCUGUUAGAGGACUUGAAGGAAGACAUAAGUAGGUUUCUAUCCCAUACUCAGGGCCAGGGCAACUUAAUAUCAUAAAGUUGCUGGUUCUUGUCAAAUUGUCUACAAAUUCAGCAUAAUCCCAAGCACAAUUCUAGAUGGCAUUUGUUUUGAGAAACUCAACAAGCUUGUUCUAAAUUAUCUAUGGAAGAACGAAGUCCACAAAGAGGCAUGUCCACCCUUCUCUACGGGCUGCCACGUUGGCACUGCACGACCCCGCCCCCACCCAUAGUUGAUUGGACCAGGCGUGGACAUGUGACCCAGCUGGGCCAAUCCGAUUCUCUCUCCCGGGCUCUGGAGCUGCAACGCCUUAAUGCUCUUGCUAGGGGAGCUGUCGGAGGCCAGGUCCUGCUGCAAAGACUGGGAAAAGGAGAGAGGAGUGAAGCGGGAGCAGAGAGAAGAAACACAAGAUGGUCUGGAUUGGUGACCGAUCAGAUCCCUACUUCCAGUCUCUUCUGGAGCCCUGGCUGCCUCCCUGCCCUUGGCUGUCAUGGACAAACCUUGUAAUAAAUUUCUCUUUUCCGUUGGUCCAGCAGGAGUGGUUUUCCGUUCCCUGCAGCUAGAAUCCUCGUUAAUACAGAUAUCUAAUAACAUCAUAAUAGUAAUAGCUGAGAUUUAUAGAAUGCUUAUUGUGUGCCAUGUACUUUUCCAAGGGGUUUAUCUGGAUUCUGUUAUUUAAACCUCUCGACAACUCUACGUGGUAUGCAUUGUUAUUCCCAUUUCACAGCUGAAGAAGCUGAGGCACAGAUAGGCUCGCUUGCUCAGGGUCACACAGCUAGUGAAGCCAGAUGUGAAGC